UUGCUCAGUUUGGCAGCACAUAUACUAAAAUUGGAAUGAUACAGAGGAGAUUAGCAUGGCCCUUGCGCAAGGAUGACAUGCAAAUUCGUGAAGUAUUCCAUAUUUUU
ensembl:snRNA U6 U6 spliceosomal RNA